UACGAAGGUGGCAAGCGUUGUUCGGAUUUACUGGGCGUACAGGGAGCGUAGGCGGUUGGAUAAGCCCUCCGUGAAAUCUCCAGGCUUAACCUGGAAAGUGCAGAGGGGACUGUUCAGCUAGAGGAUGGGAGAGGAGCGCGGAAUUCCCGGUGUAGCGGUGAAAUGCGUAGAGAUCGGGAGGAAGGCCGGUGGCGAAGGCGGUUCUCUGGGCCUUACCUGACGCUGAGGAGCGAAAGCGUGGGGAGCAAACAGG
rnacentral:rRNA from 1 species